rnacentral:rRNA from 1 species
GAUGAACGCUGGCGGCGUGCCUAAUACAUGCAAGUCGAGCGAACGGACGAGAAGCUUGCUUCUCUGAUGUUAGCGGCGGACGGGUGAGUAACACGUGGAUAACCUACCUAUAAGACUGGGAUAACUUCGGGAAACCGGCGCUAAUACCGGAUAAUAUUUUGAACCGCAUGGUUCAAAAGUGAAAGACGGUCUUGCUGUCACUUAUAGAUGGAUCCGCGCUGCAUUAGCUAGUUGGUAAGGUAACGGCUUACCAAGGCAACGAUGCAUAGCCGACCUGAGAGGGUGAUCGGCCACACUGGAACUGAGACACGGUCCAGACUCCUACGGGAGGCAGCAGUAGGGAAUCUUCCGCAAUGGGCGAAAGCCUGACGGAGCAACGCCGCGUGAGUGAUGAAGGUCUUCGGAUCGUAAAACUCUGUUACUAGGGAAGAACAGAUGUGUAAGUAACUGUGCACAGCUUGACGGUACCUAAUCAGAAAGCCACGGCUAACUACGUG